AGGAAAAGCAGAAAGUGAAGCGACGGAAAAAAAAAAUGGGCACCUGGCAGGAAGGUGGAUGAAUCCAGUGACCGACCGGCGCGAUGGGCGUGGGCCUCAAAGCUCUGCAGCCACCGCCUGGUUCCUCCAAACAGCGAGUAUGACAUCGCCAUGACAUCAACAACAGAAGAGCCAGAUGUACGGAGGGUUCGAGAGGGUACGUCAUGAAGAAUCCAGAUGUCAGGCCGGUUUCUCAGUGGACGCACUGUUGCCACACCUCCCCCUCCCGUCCCCGUCGCACGCCCUCGUCCGCUCGCCGCCUUCUCUCAUCCCCUCGCUCCUGUUUACUCGGCCUUCCAUCACUCUUCUCACACCCGUUCACCCCCCGUCGCCGCCGCCGCUCUCUCUCUCUCUCUCUCUCUCUCUCUCGGUUUUUCUCUCUCCAUCAUCCCGACCUCUUUUCACCUCUUUUCUCUGCCUCCGUCUGACGACAUCACACACAAUCUUGGAGGAUUUCCAGAGUAAACAAAACCAAUUUAAUCGGAAAAUGGUCGGUGAGCAUGCUGCUGGGAUGGCAUCGGUUUUUUAGAUUUGUGUGGAUGUAUGCAUGUGCGUUUUAAAACCCUGGGCCGAUGCAAAGAGGCAGCGUGCAUGUGUGGGGGGGGGGGGGGGGGCUUUUGAUGUGUGAGUGAAUAUCGAUGCGGCGUUGCCAGCAGCUCCUUUUCAAAAAAAAACUAAGUCAAAACGCAAGUCAAACGCACAGCGGCCAAUCAGAAAUCCCCAAUUCUACCAUAAAAGCACUGGCUUAUCUUCAAAAACUGCAGCCAGCGAGCUCGGAGUAGAACAAAAUCCUCAACGGCGCCCUUUUACUCUCCCAAACAGCUCUCAUGCUCGGCACCAUCGGUCGUGAUACGCUGCUGCAUGAGCAGUUUCUCAUCGCUUUUCAUUCAAAAAGUGACGGCCCAGCUGUUCCUGUCCUUGGGGGGGGGGGGGGGGGAACUGUUUGCAGCACCUUUGAGAAAAAAUAGUGCACCAACUAUCUUCCCCACCCAACGCUGGAUGCUCUCCGUGGGCCUCGGACCCGGCUGCUCUGUCUGGCGCUGAGACGAAGGACAAAUGAAGAGUUUGUCACGCCCCACCGAGCAAUACACCUGAGAGGUCUCUCUCUCUCGCUGUCAUCCCCCCCCCCCCCUAUCGGACAGGGGGCUGGAGUGAGGCCCAGCCGCGAGUUGGAGAAUCACCGCCCGAGACUCCAUCCAUCCGUUUUUUUCUUCUUCUUUUUUUCCCCGCUGUGAAUGGGCCGCCACACCGGAGCUGUCUCCAUUAAUCACUCACCGCGGGGUUCCUGGCCGCGCAGCGACCCGGAUCGCCCGCCGGACCGGAGGCUGCUCCAACGCUGGUUCUUUUUAAGUGGACGUUUUGCAGAUUUUUCUUUUUUUCACUGCAAAUGAGCUGUUGGUGCGGGUAGUUUUCGAUGGGAAACCCUUUUUUUGAGUAUGCCCUUUACUCUCGCAAUUUCCCCCAAAGCGUUGACCUUUUCCUCUCAAGCUCUUUCAGUCACUUUAGAAGAACAGGAGCUUCAGGAAAUUCAUGUGUGGACACACAUUAAAAUGCAAUCAACAAACGUCGUGAACAGGCUUUUUUCUUGCAUCUCAACAUUUCGUCUUUUCGAGAACUUCAUUCGCUUCAUUCUCAAUUACUGUGUGUGAUUUCUCGAACGAGGAAACAAGAGCCCGGGUAAUCAAAGCCGCCUUGAAUCUAAAAGAUAAGACUCUCAAAACUAAAUUGGCCAUCCACUUUCUCCCCUCUCACGCUAACAGACAAUUAAACGGCACAUCUCUGGUUGUCACGUGGACGACAAAGACUCACGGCCCACUUUUUCGUGCGUCUCCAUCUCCUCACGCCGCUUUGCCUCGCCGGCUCCGAGGUGUGUGGACGUGGGACAACGGCAAAAAAAAAAACGAGACGUCCAGAGCUUUCUGGUUGAAGAAGACGAGGGUGAGCCAGGUUCUCCUCAUGCCUGCGCUCCGUGGGGGGUUCUUCACCUCAUCCGCCCUUCGUACCCCCACCCCCUUCCCCACACACCCCACACGGGCGCAAACUCCCAGAGUGCCUUGCCGCGUGGCCUUUUCAAUAAUGUAGAGAGGGGAGCGAAGGGAGACAGAAAGGAGGCGGAACUGUUGCCCAGCGCUGUGGGAGACCCCUCAGUGACAUUUAUUUUUGUGUGUGUGUGUGU
ensembl:lncRNA